rnacentral:rRNA from 1 species
GGCGAGUGGCGGACGGGUGAGGAAUACAUCGGAAUCUACCUUGUCGUGGGGGAUAACGUAGGGAAACUUACGCUAAUACCGCAUACGAACUAUGGUUGAAAGCGGCGGACCGCAAGGCGUCGCGCGAUUGGAUGAGCCGAUGUCCGAUUAGCUAGUUGGCGGGGUAAAGGCCCACCAAGGCGACGAUCGGUAGCUGGUCUGAGAGGAUGAUCAGCCACACUGGAACUGAGACACGGUCCAGACUCCUACGGGAGGCAGCAGUGGGGAAUAUUGGACAAUGGGGGCAACCCUGAUCCAGCCAUGCCGCGUGUGUGAAGAAGGCCUUCGGGUUGUAAAGCACCUUUGUUGGGGAAGAAAAGCACUGGGUUAAUACCUUGGUGUCAUGACGGUACCCAAAGAAUAAGCACCGGCUAACUUCGUGCCAGCAGCCGCGGUAAUACGAAGGGUGCAAGCGUUACUCGGAAUUACUGGGCGUAAAGCGUGCGUAGGCGGUUUGUUAAGUCUGUCGUGAAAGCCCCGGGCUCAACCUGGGAAUGGCGAUG